AUCCAGCUGAUGAGUCUCGAACAGGAUGAAACGCCCGUCGUGGAU
rfam:Schistosoma mansoni, Puerto Rico, WGS project CABG01000000 data, contig: 0010